GAGAGUUUGAUCCUGGCUCAGGACGAACGCUGGCGGCGUGCCUAAUACAUGCAAGUCGUACGCUUCUUUUUCCACCGGAGCUUGCUCCACCGGAAAAAGAAGAGUGGCGAACGGGUGAGUAACACGUGGGUAACCUGCCCAUCAGAAGGGGAUAACACUUGGAAACAGGUGCUAAUACCGUAUAACAAUCGAAACCGCAUGGUUUUGAUUUGAAAGGCGCUUUCGGGUGUCGCUGAUGGAUGGACCCGCGGUGCAUUAGCUAGUUGGUGAGGUAACGGCUCACCAAGGCCACGAUGCAUAGCCGACCUGAGAGGGUGAUCGGCCACAUUGGGACUGAGACACGGCCCAAACUCCUACGGGAGGCAGCAGUAGGGAAUCUUCGGCAAUGGACGAAAGUCUGACCGAGCAACGCCGCGUGAGUGAAGAAGGUUUUCGGAUCGUAAAACUCUGUUGUUAGAGAAGAACAAGGAUGAGAGUAACUGUUCAUCCCUUGACGGUAUCUAACCAGAAAGCCACGGCUAACUACGUGCCAGCAGCCGCGGUAAUACGUAGGUGGCAAGCGUUGUCCGGAUUUAUUGGGCGUAAAGCGAGCGCAGGCGGUUUCUUAAGUCUGAUGUGAAAGCCCCCGGCUCAACCGGGGAGGGUCAUUGGAAACUGGGAGACUUGAGUGCAGAAGAGGAGAGUGGAAUUCCAUGUGUAGCGGUGAAAUGC
rnacentral:rRNA from 1 species